UGGGUGUUUCUGCGAGCCCGGUAGCCCGAGACAAUGCUCUCAUCACUUUUCUCUUAACGCGAUGAAGAAACCCUAAUAGCCGUAUGGGAUUGACGAUUCAUGAUCCUGUUCAUCUUCCUUUUCCUUCUGUUUGCGAACCAAUCGUCCGUGUAAUCAAUUUUUCCCCCACGCCUUCGCACUCUUUAGUCCCUCAUUAACCCCAUUAAUGGAAUCCUUUGGCUUCCUCCUUCGGAUCCUUUAUAAAACCUCCCAUUCACGAAAUUGGAUUUACAUCCAAAUUGCUUUAACUCUCUCCAUAAUUCUCUUUUCAUAACACUAAUAUUUCUACUCUUUAGCUCCUCUGGCAACAACAAAUGCCAGUCCAGAUGGUUUUCAUGGACUCCAGAGAUUAUAUGAACCAGAAAGUUCGGAGCUUAGUGGCUGAGUAUUCGAAGUUUUUGUACGCCAUUCCGAUGACCAAUAUAAGAGUAUUCUGUGAGGACACAUGUAUUGCCUCAAAAGAUGUCAUGUCCUCUGAUCUUCUAAAAAAGAAGCUAUGUUAAGAUUAGAUACACUCGGAAAGUCUAACGAAGAGGUAAAUAAAUCUAUACAGUGCAAAAGGAAAAGUAGAGAUUUGACUUUGUUGAACAACAAUGAAAAUUUUAUGUUAUUCAAAGCACUUUGUUAAUUUGAUUAAGAUUAACUACGGGAAUGGUCCUAUCUCCCACUCGGUGGUUAUUUUGCCUCACACCGAACAAAGGAAUCUCUCCUUUGGUGUUGCAGCUAGCAUGGUACAAACCGCAACAGGUAGUAAGAGCAACCCUUAAUUUAUGGAGUUGCUGAUCAGAGUUUAACAGUUUCUUUUUCGCACAACUCUGUUCUUACUGUGAUCGACCACAUCCGCCUCUCUAUUGACAUUGACGCAGACAGAGACAGGUUCAGGCUCCACACACACAUGACAACUUCCAAGCUGGCUGUGGUCUGGUCUCAGGGGUGACCUCUACGAUGUUGUCGGCCACUUGAGACUGGUAAAUAGACAGUCUCUAAUUGACUUUCCUGUCCUUGACGAAACGGAGAUAGCAACCACACGUCGUUUUUUAGUUCAUUUGCAAUCAAAAGGUGGUCCUUUAAUGAAGAUGUACCUUUGGCACCAGGCUUCAAAAGACUUCUACAAAACAGUGAAAAACUCCCACCAUGUUUUUAGUAACGACGGUGAACCCAAAACGUCAUGCAGUUUAUCAAGAACGAGGAAUUUAGUUCUCAGUUCAAUGUCAUUCUCACGUGUCUUCAUAGACAAAGAUGUCCAGCCCACGAUUGAUUACUUCAACUGGUUAGCAAUUGUAGAGUUCUAACACAAAGAUUGCUAAGCUGGUUACUGCAGAUGAGGUUACCGGAGCUGAGAUAAUGACAAUUGGGAAAAUCUUUGCUUACAUCAAGCAUGAUUGCCAAGGUUAAAUAAAAGCGUAAGAUAGCUCUGUUAAAACAGAGGCAUAUCCAUGUAGAUCACUAGCUUUUUAUCUACUGCAGGAAGCUUUUGAGCGUGACACUGCAUGGUAUUAUUAUUCCUCCAUCGAUUGUCAAACUAAGACCACCAGAGGCCCUUCUUCGUUGAUGUGAACCAAGUGUGGCAACGCAACACAAACAUUGCUGGUGUAGCAAAGACGUGAGUGGACAUGGAAGCAUGCCUCGGAGUUGGUUGACAACUACUUUGAGGCUAAUCGAGAAAUUGGUUCUUACCAUGAGAUGCCUGCCCCCAAAUUUUAAUCGACACCAAUGCCCAAACACAUAAGUUCAGGGUCAAGGUGUCUGACUACAACUCCACAGACAAGACUUCCCGCUAUAACUGUUACUAAGAUUGUCUCACCAGGAGUUCUUCCACCUGUAACAACUCCAACUGAAAUCCCACUUGAUGCAAAGAAUGAAGUUGUUGUGCUCUCUGUGUCGUUGCUGGCUCUGGAUUCAAUACUGAUGAGCAAAAUGAAAGUAUCAGUAACAGGGAUGAAUCACGGAAGGAUUGUGUCAUUGUCUUCUUUAUUUUCUUCGAGCCAAGACUAUGUUUUCUCUGUUUUAUUUUUGACUUUCGAUCUUGCUUUGGUUUAAUAUUUGCAAACAGUAUUCUUCUUUCUUUAGACUUUGAUUUAUUAGAAUACACACAUAAUGAUUUCCAGCUUA